GACGAACGCUGGCGGCGUGCUUAACACAUGCAAGUCGAACGGCAAGGCCCUGCUUUCGUGGGGUGCCCGAGUGGCGAACGGGUGAGUAACAGGAGAGUAACCUGCCCUAGACUUUGGGAUAACUUAAGGUAACUGGGGCUAAUACCGGACAGGAGCCCAUGUAGCAUGGAGGGGGUUGGAACGUUUCGGCGGUCGGGAGUGGAUUGGCGGCUUAUGGGCUAGUUGGUGGGGUGGUGGCUGACCGAGGAAUGGAGGGGUAGGUGGCCUGUGAGGGUGACCGGCGACAUUGGGACUGAGGUACGGCCGCAGCUCCUACUGUAGGCAGCAGUGGGGAAGAUUGAACAAGGGACGGAGGCCGGAUGCAGCAACGCCGCGGGCUGUAAAGCGGCCUUCUGGUUGUAAACCGCUUUAGCCUGUGACGAAGCGUUUGUGACGGUAAUGAAUAAAUAAGCACCGGCUAACUACGUG
rnacentral:rRNA from 1 species